GGGGGGCGUAGCGGCCCUUGUUGUGGCCGCUAGGGUGGCCGCUAGGUACAGAGGGGCGUAGCGGCCUUUGUUAUGGCCGCUAGAUCAGGCUGCUGUGCCCCGGAUUUUCAUGGAAUUAAAUGGAGUUUUCCUCAGAUUGAUUUGGAGUUUCUCCAAUGGCCUAUGCAGUGCCCACUAGAUGUGGCCGCUACGGAUAGGUGUUGUGGUAAAAAACGGUCACGACGGAAUUAACGCUUGAAUAUCGUCAAAAAAUACUUUUCAAAGAAGUAAUUUUCGUAAAAAUUACU
rnacentral:lncRNA from 1 species